rnacentral:ncRNA from 1 species
CUAUCUGGAGAAGUCCGCGAUUACAGGCACGAGUUGAGGCGCGUGCGCGUAUAUCGGCGGAUGCCGAAGGUGCAAAGCGUUUGGAUACUAUCCGAGCGUCAAAUCUCUCAGGCAAAAGGACAGAGUCG